rnacentral:rRNA from 1 species
CCUACGGGAGGCAGCAGUAGGGAAUCUUCCGCAAUGGACGAAAGUCUGACGGAGCAACGCCGCGUGAACGAUGAAGGCCUUCGGGUCGUAAAGUUCUGUUGUUAGGGAAGAACAAGUGCUAGUUAAAUAAGCUGGCACCUUGACGGUACCUAACCAGAAAGCCACGGCUAACUACGUGCCAGCAGCCGCGGUAAUACGUAGGUGGCAAGCGUUGUCCGGAAUUAUUGGGCGUAAAGCGCGCGCAGGCGGUUUCUUAAGUCUGAUGUGAAAGCCCCCGGCUCAACCGGGGAGGGUCAUUGGAAACUGGGAAACUUGAGUGCAGAAGAGGAAAGUGGAAUUCCAAGUGUAGCGGUGAAAUGCGUAGAGAUUUGGAGGAACACCAGUGGCGAAGGCGACUUUCUGGUCUGUAACUGACGCUGAGGCGCGAAAGCGUGGGGAGCAAACAGGAUUAGAUACCCUGGUAGUCCACGCUGUAAACGAUGAGUGCUAAGUGUUAGAGGGUUUCCGCCCUUUAGUGCUGAAGUUAACGCAUUAAGCACUCCGCCUGGGGANACGGUCGCAAGCUGAAACUCAAAUGAAUUGACCGG